rnacentral:rRNA from 1 species
UUCGGAAUUUACAUUCUGAGUAACGUAGCUAACGCGUGAAGUCAGCCGCCUGGGGAGUACGGUCGCAAGAUUAAAACUCAAAGGAAUUGACGGGGACCCGCACAAGCGGUGGAUGAUGUGGAUUAAUUCGAUGCAACGCGAAAAACCUUACCUACCCUUGACAUGUCACUAACGAAGUAGAGAUACAUUAGGUGCCCGUAAGGGAAAGUGAACACAGGUGCUGCAUGGCUGUCGUCAGCUCGUGUCGUGAGAUGUUGGGUUAAGUCCCGCAACGAGCGCAACCCUUGUCUUUAGUUGCUACGCAAGAGCACUCUAAAGAGACUGCCGGUGACAAACCGGAGGAAGGUGGGGAUGACGUCAAGUCCUCAUGGCCCUUAUGGGUAGGGCUUCACACGUCAUACAAUGGUGCAUACAGAGGGUUGCCAACCCGCGAGGGGGAGCUAAUCUCAGAAAAUGCAUCGUAGUCCGGAUCGUAGUCUGCAACUCGACUACGUGAAGCUGGAAUCGCUAGUAAUCGCGGAUCAGAAUGUCGCGGUGAAUACGUUCCCGGGUCUUGUACACACCGCCCGUCAUACCAUGGGAGUGGGUUUUGCCAGAAGCCGUUAGCCUAACCGCAAGG